rnacentral:rRNA from 1 species
UACGGAGGGGGCUAGCGUUGUUCGGAAUUACUGGGCGUAAAGCGCGCGUAGGCGGACCUGCAAGUCGGGGGUGAAAGCCCGAGGCUCAACCUCGGAACUGCCUUCGAUACUGCGGGUCUCGAGUCCGGGAGAGGUGAGUGGAAUUCCUAGUGUAGAGGUGAAAUUCGUAGAUAUUAGGAAGAACACCAGUGGCGAAGGCGGCUCACUGGCCCGGUACUGACGCUGAGGCGCGAAAGCCGUGGGGAGC